rnacentral:rRNA from 1 species
AGUCGAACGAAAAGAGGGAAAGAGCUUGCUCUUUCCGGAAUUGAGUGGCAAACGGGUGAGUAACACGUAAACAACCUGCCUUCAGGAUGGGGACAACAGACGGAAACGACUGCUAAUACCGAAUAAGUUCCAAGAGCCGCAUGGCCCAUGGAAGAAAAGGUGGCCUCUACCUGUAAGCUAUCGCCUGAAGAGGGGUUUGCGUCUGAUUAGCUGGUUGGAGGGGUAACGGCCCACCAAGGCGACGAUCAGUAGCCGGUCUGAGAGGAUGAACGGCCACACUGGAACUGAGACACGGUCCAGACUCCUACGGGAGGCAGCAGUGGGGAAUCUUCCGCAAUGGGCGAAAGCCUGACGGAGCAACGCCGCGUGAGUGAUGACGGCCUUCGGGUUGUAAAACUCUGUGAUCCGGGACGAAAAGGCAGAGUGCGAAGAACAAACUGCAUUGACGGUACCGGAAAAGCAAGCCACGGCUAACUACGUGCCAGCAGCCGCGGUAAUACGUAGGUGGCAAGCGUUGUCCGGAAUUAUUGGGCGUAAAGCGCGCGCAGGCGGCUUCCCAAGUCCCUCUUAAAAGUGCGGGGCUUAACCCCGUGAUGGGAAGGAAACUGGGAAGCUGGAGUAUCGGAGAGGAAAGUGGAAUUCCUAGUGUAGCG